AAAGGAAUAGACGGGGACCCGCACAAGCGGUGGAGCGUGUUGUUUAAUUCGAAGAUAAGCGAAGAACCUUACCAAGGCUUGACUUCCUGCGAAGGUUUCCGAAAGGAAAUUGUGCCUUUUAGGAGCGCAGUGACAGGUGCUGCAUGGCCGUCGUCAGCUCGUGUCGUGAGAUGUAUGGUUAAGUCCAUUAACGAGCGCAACCCUUAUGAUUAGUUGGAUUUUUCUAAUCAGACUGCCCUGGCAACAGGGAGGAAGGAGGGGAUGAUGUCAGGUCAGUAUUGCCCUUACGUCUUGGGCGACAAACACGCUACAAUGGCCGGUACAAAGGGCAGCCAACUCGCGAGAGGGAGCAAACCCCAUCAAAGCUGGUCUUAGUUCGGAUUGCAGGCUGAAACUCGCCUGCAUGAAGUCGGAAUCGCUAGUAACGGUGGGUCAGCUAUACUACCGUGAAUACGUUCCCGGGUCUUGUACACACCGCCCGU
rnacentral:rRNA from 1 species